rnacentral:rRNA from 1 species
CCCUUAGAUGUUCUGGGCCGCACGCGCGCUACAAUGGUCUUCGCAAACGGAUGCAUUCUCGAAGGAGAAUGCCAAUCUUGGAAUCUAUGCCUUGGUCGGGACAGUUGCUUGCAAUUUUUCGACUCGAACCAGGAAUUCCUUGUAAUCGUGAUUCAUCACAUCACGAUGAAUACGUCCCUGCCCUUUGUACACACCGCCCGUCGCUCCCACCGAUCGAAGAGUUAGGUGAAUUGUUUUGAUCGAUAAGAUUUGACUAUGGUCAACUCUCGUUGUGAAAUUCUGUGAAUCUGACUGUUUAGAGGAAGGAAAAGUCGUAACA